GGCAUGGGUGCACACCGCAUUGAGCAUGUGGAGGUCAGAGGACAACUCUUGGGAGCUGAUGCUGGAAUGUUCUUACACUUGGAAGGGUCCAAAGGGAUCUGAUCGAGGGCCUUGGACAUCUAGUUUCUAAGAACUCCUAACAAGCAUCCAGAAAGAAAGCACACACAGGUUCAAAUGAACAAGACGAACAGGCUGUAGCCACCGCAAGGACACCACCUAAAAAGUGUUACCUACCUCCUGAGGAAAGUAAGCACACUGAGCGUCAUAAAUAAGACUUCCUUACUUUAUAUAGGAAGGAAGUGUUGUACCUGUUUCUCGAAACCCCCAGAGACCACCAAGGAGCCGGUUUCCGAUGCAAGCACAUAAGGGUCCUUUUAAUUCAGGUUCAACCUGGGCCACCGCCAGGCAGAUGGAGGGAAA